UGAUUAUGGCUCAGAAUCAACGCUGGCGGCGUGCCUCAGACAUGCAAGUCGAACGAUUAAGACUUCCUUCGGGAAGUGCAUAAAGUGGCGCACGGGUGAGUAACACGUAAGUAAUCUACCCUCGAGUGGGGAAUAACGUUCGGAAACGGACGCUAAUACCGCAUAACGCAGCGGCACCGCAAGGUGACAGUUGUUAAAGGAGCAAUCCGCUUGAGGAGGAGCUUGCGGCAGAUUAGCUAGUUGGUAGGGUAAUGGCUUACCAAGGCUACGAUCUGUAUCCGGUCUAAGAGGACGGUCGGACACACUGACACUGAAUAACGGGUCAGACUCCUACGGGAGGCAGCAGUCGGGAAUUUUGGGCAAUGGGCGAAAGCCUGACCCAGCAACGCCGCGUGAAGGAUGAAGUAUUUCGGUAUGUAAACUUCGAAAGAAUAGGAAGAAUAAAUGACGGUACUAUUUAUAAGCUCCGGCUAACUACGUGCCAGCAGCCGCGGUAAUACGUAGGGAGCAAGCGUUGUUCGGAUUUACUGGGCGUAAAGGGCGCGUAGGCGGCGCGGUAAGUCACUUGUGAAAUCUCUGAGCUUAACUCAGAACGGCCAAGUGAUACUGCAGUGCUAGAGUGCAGAAAGGGCAAUCGGAAUUCUUGGUGUAGCGGUGAAAUGCGUAGAUAUCAAGAGGAACACCUGAGGCGAAAGCGGGUUGCUAGGCUGACACUGACGCUGAGGCGCGAAAGCCAGGGGAGCAAACGGGAUUAGAUACCCCGGUAGUCCUGGCCCUAAACGAUGAAUACUUGGUGUCUGGAGUUUCAAUACUCCGGGUGCCGUCGCUAACGUUUUAAGUAUUCCGCCUGGGGAGUACGCUCGCAAGAGUGAAACUCAAAGGA
rnacentral:rRNA from 1 species